rnacentral:rRNA from 1 species
UGACUCCCGAGUUGUAAUCUAGAGAAGUGUUUUCCGYGUUGGACCGUGUACAAGUUCCCUGGAACGGGGCGUCAUAGAGGGUGAGAAUCCCGUAUAUGCCACGGACUACCAAUGCUCUGUGAUACACUCUCAACGAGUCGAGUUGUUUGGGAAUGCAGCUCAAAAUGGGUGGUAAAUUCCAUCUAAAGCUAAAUAUUGGCGAGAGACCGAUAGCGAACAAGUACCGUGAGGGAAAGAUGAAAAGCACUUUGGAAAGAGAGUGAAACAGUACGUGAAAUUGUUGAAAGGGAAGCGUUUGAAGUCAGUCACGUCUGUCGGAAUUCAGCCUGGCUUCUGCCUGGUGUACUUUCCGUCCGACGGGUCAGCAUCAAUUUCGACCGAGGGAAAAAGRCGUGAGGAAUGUGGCUGUCUYCGGGCAGUGUUAUAGCCUCGCGUUGUAUGUCUCGGUUGGGAUUGAGGAACGCAGCGCGCCUAUUGGCCGGGGGUUCGCGCCCCUCGGUACRCGCUUAGGAUGCUGGYAUAAUGGCUUUAAGCGACCCGUCUUGAAACACGGACC